rnacentral:rRNA from 1 species
CGGGUCUAGUGGCGCACGGGUGCGUAACUGUGUGCGGAAUCUGCCCUUGGGUUCGGAAUAACUCAGAGAAAUUUGAGCUAAUACCGGAUGAUGACGAAAGUCCAAAGAUUUAUCGCCCAAGGAUGAGCCCGCGUAAGAUUAGCUUGUUGGUGGGGUAAUGGCCCACCAAGGCGACGAUCUUUAGCUGGUCUGAGAGGAUGAUCAGCCACACUGGGACUGAGACACGGCCCAGACUCCUACGGGAGGCAGCAGUGGG